GAGGAUUUAAGUUAAAAAAACUAUUAACCUUCAAAGUUGAAAUUAUACCCAAUUUGUAAGCCUUA
rnacentral:tRNA from 1 species